rnacentral:tRNA from 1 species
AAGUGAGAAGCAAACAUUGCAAUCAGUUUCGACCUGAUCCUAGAUAAAAUUUUAUCCUUACUUU